GAAGCGUCUGGAAAGGCGCGCGAUACAGGGUGACAGCCCCGUACACAAAAAUGCACAUACUGUGAGCUCGAUGAGUAGGGCGGGACACGUGGUAUCCUGUCUGAAUAUGGGGGGACCAUCCUCCAAGGCUAAAUACUCCUGACUGACCGAUAGUGAACCAGUACCGUGAGGGAAAGGCGAAAAGAACCCCGGCGAGGGGAGUGAAAAAGAACCUGAAACCGUGUACGUACAAGCAGUGGGAGCCUCUUUUAUGGGGUGACUGCGUACCUUUUGUAUAAUGGGUCAGCGACUUAUAUUCUGUAGCAAGGUUAACCGAAUAGGGGAGCCGAAGGGAAACCGAGUCUUAACCGGGCGUUAAGUUGCAGGGUAUAGACCCGAAACCCGGUGAUCUAGCCAUGGGCAGGUUGAAGGUUGGGUAACACUAACUGGAGGACCGAACCGACUAAUGUUGAAAAAUUAGCGGAUGACUUGUGGCUGGGGGUGAAAGGCCAAUCAAACCGGGAGAUAGCUGGUUCUCCCCGAAAGCUAUUUAGGUAGCGCCUCGUGAAUUCAUCUCCGGGGGUAGAGCACUGUUUCGGCAAGGGGGUCAUCCCGACUUACCAACCCGAUGCAAACUGCGAAUACCGGAGAAUGUUAUCACGGGAGACACACGGCGGGUGCUAACGUCCGUCGUGAAGAGGGAAACAACCCAGACCGCCAGCUAAGGUCCCAAAGUCAUGGUUAAGUGGGAAACGAUGUGGGAAGGCCCAGACAGCCAGGAUGUUGGCUUAGAAGCAGCCAUCAUUUAAAGAAAGCGUAAUAGCUCACUGGUCGAGUCGGCCUGCGCGGAAGAUGUAACGGGGCUAAACCAUGCACCGAAGCUGCGGCAGCGACACUGUGUGUUGUUGGGUAGGGGAGCGU
rnacentral:rRNA from 1 species